rnacentral:rRNA from 1 species
GAUGAACGCUGGCGGCGUGCCUAAUACAUGCAAGUCGAGCGAACAGACGAGGAGCUUGCUCCUCUGACGUUAGCGGCGGACGGGUGAGUAACACGUGGAUAACCUACCUAUAAGACUGGGAUAACUUCGGGAAACCGGAGCUAAUACCGGAUAAUAUAUUUAACCGCAUGGUUCAAUAGUGAAAGACGGUUUUGCUGUCACUUAUAGAUGGAUCCGCGCCGCAUUAGCUAGUUGGUAAGGUAACGGCUUACCAAGGCGACGAUGCGUAGCCGACCUGAGAGGGUGAUCGGCCACACUGGAACUGAGACAAGGUCCAGACUCCUACGGGAGGCAGCAGUAGGGAAUCUUCCGCAAUGGGCGAAAGCCUGACGGAGCAACGCCGCGUGAGUGAUGAAGGUCUUCGGAUCGUAAAACUCUGUUAUUAGGGAAGAACAAAUGUGUAAGUAACUAUGCACGUCUUGACGGUACCUAAUCAGAAAGCCACGGCUAACUACGUG